rnacentral:rRNA from 1 species
CCUACGGGCGGCAGCAGUGAGGAAUAUUGGUCAAUGGACGAGAGUCUGAACCAGCCAAGUAGCGUGAAGGAUGACUGCCCUAUGGGUUGUAAACUUCUUUUAUAUGGGAAUAAAAAGUGCCACGUGUGGGAGUUUGUAUGUACCAUAUGAAUAAGGAUCGGCUAACUCCGUGCCAGCAGCCGCGGUAAUACGGAGGAUCCGAGCGUUAUCCGGAUUUAUUGGGUUUAAAGGGUGCGUAGGUGGAUUGGUAAGUCAGUGGUGAAAGUUUGCGGCUCAACCGUAAAAUUGCAGUUGAAACUGGGAGUCUUGAGUACGGUAGAGGUGGGCGGAAUGCGUGGUGUAGCGGUGAAAUGCUUAGAUAUCACGAAGAACUCCGAUUGCGAAGGCAGUUCACUGGACUGCAACUGACACUGAGGCUCGAAAGUGUGGGUAUCGAACAGGAUUAGAUAUCCUAGUAGUC